rnacentral:rRNA from 1 species
UACGGAGGGUGCAAGCGUUAUCCGGAUUCACUGGGUUCAAAGGGUGCGUAGGCGGGUAUAUAAGUCAGUGGUGAAAGCUCCGAGCUUAACUUGGAAACUGCCAUUGAUACUGUAUAUCUUGAAUAUCAUAGAGGUUAGCGGAAUGUUGCAUGUAGCGGUGAAAUGCUUAGAUAUGUUACGGAACACCAAUUGCGAAGGCAGCUAACUAUGCGAUUAUUGACGCUGAGGCACGAAAGCGUGGGGAGCAAACAGG